UACAUGGGGUGCAAACGUUGCUCGGAAUUAUUGGGCGUAAAGCGCACGUAGGCGGUUUGUUAAGUCGGAUGUGAAAUCCCUCGGCUCAACUGAGGAAGUGCAUCCGAAACUGGCAAGCUUGAGUACGAAAGAGGGUCGCGGAAUUCCCGGUGUAGAGGUGAAAUGCGCAGAUAUCAGGAGGAACACCGGUGGCGAAGGCGGGUCUCUGGGCCGAUACUGACGCUGAGGAGCGAAAGCGUGGGGAGCGAACAGG
rnacentral:rRNA from 1 species